rnacentral:rRNA from 1 species
AUACGUAGGGGGCAAGCGUUAUCCGGAAUUAUUGGGCGUAAAGCGUGCGUAGGUGGUUACCUAAGCGCAAGGUUUAAUCUUGAGGCUCAACCUCAUUCUGCCUUGCGAACUGGGCUACUUGAGUGCUGGAGGGGAAAGCGGAAUUCCUAGUGUAGCGGUGAAAUGCGUAGAUAUUAGGAAGAACACCGGUGGCGAAGGCGGCUUUCUGGACAGUAACUGACACUGAGGCACGAAAGCGUGGGGAGCAAACAGGAUUAGAUACCCUGGUAGUCCACGCCGUAAACGAUGAGCACUAGUUGUUGGGUCCGAAUGGAUUCAGUGACGCAGUUAACGCAAUAAGUGCUCCGCCUGGGGAGUACGGUGGCAACACUAAAACUCAAAUGAAUUGACGGGG